UUUUAUCGUAUAUCUAUUAAUUAAUUUUUAAAAAUUCAAGUUUUAUGCUAUUUGGUUUAUAUGAAAUAUGUUUCAUAGAAUUUAAAUGUAGUUUAAGAUAUAAUUUUACUAAAUAUUAUAAAAAAUAUAUUGAAGUGUUAAGAAAAAAUAUAGAUGAACUUCAUUGUGAAUAUAAAACAAAUAAUACAAUGUUUUGUUUGCACUUAUAUAAAUCUUAUAUAUAAAUUUAUUUAUAAUGAAUUUAGUGGGACUAUUACGUAGGAUUUUCUAGAAAAUUAUUAUCUUAUAUUUUUUGAUUAGUGCCAUAUAUAUAUUAAUUGCAAACAUUUUUUUAUUACUAUAUUAAGUUUCCAAGAGAGAAUAAACACUUUUUUAUAUAUAUAGAUAUCUAUCAAUAUGUUGAAUACUCUUUUCGCAUUCAUGUGUUUUUGGUAAAACCCAAAGAACAUAUCUCCCUGGCCCAUUACUCAUGAUUACAGAAAUUUAUUUUGUGCCUGAAAAUGAAAAUCUUCACCCACUAAAAGCCUUUUUAGUUUUUAUCGUCUUCGUUGCUUCACAUACUUUAACUACACCGCCUCACCGAACCGCAAUUGUAAAUCGUCUACAUUCACAAUAAUAACGAAGCUUUUCAUUUACGUCUUUUAAUCUACACCUCUCCUCACAUUUAAUUAUCAUGCACCUCCUCAUAUGUUCUCCCGAUCCUUUAAUCCUAAUAAAUAAAGAUGGUUACAACCACAAAUCUCACCACUUCCUCAAACUCUUUCCUAUCUAUCGAUUUGAAACUCAGACAACAUCAAUGGCAUCCUCCAUGUCUAAUAUGAAGUCUGUCAUUGUCGGCAGACAGUUGUUACUGUGGGUGGUGGCGGUGAACUAUAUGCAGAAGAUGAAACCGCCAGCAAUAGAUCCCUUGAUCGGAGAAGAACAAGCUCCAAGCUGUUCUAGCAAAACAGAUCAAUGAAGGAGGUACACAAGUGGUUCCUUGCUAGGUAUAUUAUCUCUCUGAUUUGAAAUUUAAUUUUUACAUCGGCUUUUAUGGUAUCUGAUUCGCAGUUGAUGAUCUGAUCUAUUAGAUUCAUUAAGUUGAAAUUCUGGGCUUUAACAAUGGUUAUAUAUAUUGCAUUGUAGAACUGUGACUCACAUCACAUAGUUGAUUUUGAUUUCUAUUGAGAAUUCAUCAAACUUCUUAGCUUCUUCUAUUUUCAUAUAUUAAUAUUUUGUAUCCCUGUAUAAUCUGGAUGAUGAUGCUUUUGAUUAAGAAACUCAUCAUAUAUACAAUACUAUAUGUUUGCUCAUAGGUAGCCUCGUUCGUGAGCAUUAGCAAUAAACACUAUAAUUGUUAGAACAGAUCAUUUGUGUAACAUGAUUGUCUCAAACAGGAAGCAUAUCUAUCAUGUGAUGAAAGAAUCUUCUUUUUGUCUUAUUCUCACUCACGAUCAAAAUUUUCAGACACCAAAAAAUUUGAUCCGUAUCUGAUUUGAAAGGGGUAAAAAAUAUAUGAAUAUGUUUUGUAAAAUGGUACAAAACAUAUUUGAACCUGAUAUGUUAUUAACCGAAUCCCAACGGGUAAACUCACAUUUGUUUGAAUAGUAUUGAUUCAUUUUUUUUAACUAGGUA